AAGUCGUAACAAGGUUUCCGUAGGUGAACCUGCGGAAGGAUCAUUAAAGAGUUGCCGGUGGAAGCCUUCGGGUAGUACGCCGCUCUUCACCCGUGCCUAUACACUUGACUUGUCGGGCUUUCGGCCCUAGCCCGGAGAGACCAAACUCUUGAAUUUAUUACUGUCUGAGUACUAUAUAAUAGUUAAAA
rnacentral:misc_RNA from 1 species